CAAGUACUCCCUCCGUUCCGAAUUACUUGUCUUGGAUUUUUCUAGAUACGGAUGUAUCUAGACUCAUUUUAGUGCUAGAUACCUUCGCAUCUAGACAAAUCUAAGACAAGUAAUUCAGAACGGAGGGAGUAUAUA
rnacentral:pre_miRNA from 1 species